rnacentral:rRNA from 1 species
AUGCACGAGCUGGAGGUGGCCGCCAUUCUCGAGGACCUGCCAUCCAUCGUGCGGGCCAGAAACCGCCGCCGCCGCCAGCAGCAGAAACAGCAGCAGGCGUGGCCGGAGAUCCCCUCGUGGGGCCGGUGCCGGCCGAGAAGUCCACGCCCGGUGACGAUAGGUGUGAGGGCGUCGCCAGCUCGGACACCUAGCUCGCCAUCCCCGAGGACCAUGAGCACGACGAGGCGGCGGCGGCAGAGGACAAGGACAAGGCCAAGGCCAGCGCUGCUCCGGCGGCCCGCGCUGAAGGCGGGCGUCUACUCCCUGGGCGUGCUCCUGCUGGAGCUCCUCACCGACAAGUCCCCGACGCACGCGUCCCGCGCAGCCCACGGAUCAUCACAAAGAAAAUCCCCCGAUCCUCUCUUCUCUGUCCCUACAAUCGCCGGAUUUGCCGCCGCUGUUGGCUGGAUCCGGUGCUGCCGGAUCCAUCCUUCCCUUGGAUCCCCCAGCUCGACGCAACCGCGUCGUCCAUCAUGGCAGCGACAGCGAGCUCCUUGCUGCCCGACGAGACGUCCGUUACUUCGUAGAAAAGGCAACUCUUCCUCCUCCGGGAUCGAUUUCAUAUCCAGCUUGCUCUGCCACGGAUGGAUCUUCAGUCAUCCAUGUCGUCCGUGUUGUGCUCCCGCCGCCGGCCGUGUGUGA